rnacentral:rRNA from 1 species
GUGAGGAAUUUUCCGCAAUGGGCGAAAGCCUGACGGAGCAAUGCCGCGUGAAGGAUGAAGGCCUAUGGGUUGUAAACUUCUUUUCUUAGAGAAGAAUAUUGACGGUAUCUGAGGAAUAAGCAUCGGCUAACUCUGUGCCAGCAGCCGCGGUAAGACAGAGGAUGCAAGCGUUAUCCGGAAUGAUUGGGCGUAAAGCGUCUGUAGGUGGCUUCAAAAGUCUCCUGUCAAAGAUCAGGGCUUAACCCUGGGCCGGCAGGAGAAACUCUGAUGAUAGAGUUUGGUAGGGGCAGAGGGAAUUCCCGGUGGAGCUGUGAAAUGCGGAGAGAUCGGGAGGAACAACAGAGGCGAAAGCACUCUGCUGGGCCACAACUGACACUGAGAGACGAAAGCGAGGGGAGCAAAAGGGAAUAGAAACCCUGGUAGUCC